AUUGAACGCUGGCGGCAGGCCUAACACAUGCAAGUCGAGCGGAUGAAGGUAGCUUGCUCCUGGAUUCAGCGGCGGACGGGUGAGUAAUGCCUAGGAAUCUUCCUGGUAGUGGGGGAUAACGUCCGGAAACGUGCGCUAAUACCGCAUACGUCCUGAGGGAGAAAGUGGGGGAUCUUCGGACCUCACGCUAUCAGAUGAGCCUAGGUCGGAUUAGCUAGUUGGUGGGGUAAAGGCCUACCAAGGCGACGAUCCGUAACUGGUCUGAGAGGAUGAUCAGUCACACUGGAACUGAGACACGGUCCAGACUCCUACGGGAGGCAGCAGUGGGGAAUAUUGGACAAUGGGCGAAAGACUGAUCAAGCCAUGCAGCGUGUGUGAAGAAGGUCUUCGGAUUGUAAAGCACUUUAAGUUGGGAGGAAGGGCAGUAAGUUAAUACCUUGCUGUUUUGACGUUACCAACAGAAUAAGCACCGGCUAACUUCGUG
rnacentral:rRNA from 1 species